rnacentral:misc_RNA from 1 species
GAUGAAGAACGUAGUGAAAUGCGAUACGUAAUGUGAAUUGCAAAUUCAGUGAAUCAUCGAGUCUUUGAACGCACAUUGCGCCCCCUGGUAUUCCGGGGGGCAUGCCUGUCCGAGCGUCAUUGCUGCCCUCAAGCACGGCUUGUGUGUUGGGCCCCGUCCUCCGAUCCCGGGGGACGGGCCCGAAAGGCAGCGGCGGCACCGCGUCCGGUCCUCGAGCGUAUGGGGCUUUGUCACCCGCUCUGUAGGCCCGGCCGGCGCUUGCCGAUCAACCCAAAUUUUUAUCCAGGUUGACCUCGGAUCAGGUAGGGAUACCCGCUGAACUUAAGCAUAUCAAUAAGCGAGGA